AUUCCAUCGAGAGCACUAACUUCCUAAUAAAGCGUUCACUAUCUUAGGAUGUACAUCGAGGAAACUGUUACCAUCUGUUAGUCCAUGCAGUGGAAACAUAAAGUCUCUUGUUUUUUUUUUAGAUCUGGGGCUCUGUCUGCUUUACUUUGUGAUUCUGUCUAUCAGAGCCGUUCUGAUUUUCUGUAGUAGUAGUGAUCAGACCUCAAGUCCUGCAAUCUCAGCUGAUCAUCUAUCAUUUCACUUUAAUCAAUCAACAUUUCCGUCUCUCACAGUAAUUGUUGUUAACCUAACAUGUAACGCAGAGAGCAAAAAGGAACUUCCAUUUCUGCUAAUCUGCUCUGGUAUCUGUUGAUACUGGAAAACUUAUUGUGCAUAGGUACAUUGUUCCUCUUACAAGACACGUUGUUAAAGUCAGAAGUGCAACCGCUAAGUUAUCCGCUGAGUGGCUGAGCUCAGCGGAAGUGUUGUUAAACGUUUUCUGAGUAUCCGCGGAGCUAAAUAAAGGCCGCCAUCUUCUCAGCACAAUCGCUUAGCGCUUAGCCUGCAGGUUCCCAGGACGCUUACCAGUUUUGCCGAGAAGAUGGCAGCCUUUGUUUACUAACAAGUUUGCAUCAUCGCUAAGCGGAUAACUAAAAGUGGCGGACUGAAGUCAUAUCGCUGACUUCAAUUUUUAACUUUAACAACGCGUACAUUGGCCUGAGAUAGUAGUUGCUGACAGUGAAUGCAGUCCUAGUGUUGGUUGUAUGUCAGUGGGAUCAUUUGAGUUUCAUAGGGAGUUUUAUGUGGACAUUUAGUAUUGCUAAUUUCAUGCAGUACUGAAACAAGACAAAUCUCCUUAUCAACAAAUAUGAGAAGUACUUUUUUAAUGGAUGUACUCUUACUGAAUAGUGCUUAUUCAAGGUUAAUGAGACACUUUCGCUUUAAUGUAAGAUGACAGAGUUUUAGCAGUUUCCUUACACAUCGACCACUGUUUUAUUUGUAGGAUUUUUGAGAAAAGCUCACAUUCUGUGUCUGCUAAUUAAGGCUGUUGAAACCUCCAAUAAAUCUCUGAAAUCAGCCAUCGAAAAAAUGAAGGGGGGGGGGGGGCUUGGCUUGGCUGAAGUACUGGCAACUGACUGUCUCUCAUCGGCUGUCGAUAGAUCUGAAGACUCCCUAAGUUGUCCUUCAUCAAAUGGUUGGUAAACUCACCAUAAAAAUGUAGGUUGUCAAGUUUUUCAGAGUGGCUGUAAAAGAAUGCACCCAAUUUUUAAGUAAAAAUGAACCUCUAACAAAUUUUCUCUUCCUGCUGUUUAAAUUUUUCCAAUACCAACUGGGCCAUGUGCCGGCUUGUUGUGCAUUUCUUGAAGUAUGAUCAGUCUUUAAUUAAAUUACAUUUUGCAGUUAGAAACCAUUAUUUCUCAAUUAACUCAGGGCCAUUUUAGGCAUCCUUAUCUCCCCGAUACAGAUAGAUGCUCUCUAAAUGAGUCACAAUUUGAGUACAUCAGCAAGCCAGAAAAAGAGUCGCUAAAAUGAAACGUACUUUUAAGUGCUGUCAUAAUAUCCUAACCAAAUACUGAAUAUUUUGAAUUAUCUUUUUCAGCUGUUGUUUAUUGAAAACAUUCUUGCCAACAUUCAUGCUUUUUGCAAAGUUGUGUUUAUCUCCAUUGGAAUGCAUUUGACCUUUUUAUCUUAAUGGUU
rnacentral:lncRNA from 1 species